rnacentral:rRNA from 1 species
CUCUUACCCAUGUCUUUUAAGUACCUUACGUUUCCUCGGCGGGUCCGCCCGCCGAUUGGACAAUUUAAACCAUUUGCAGUUGCAAUCAGCGUCUGAAAAAACUUAAUAGUUACAACUUUCAACAACGGAUCUCUUGGUUCUGGCAUCGAUGAAGAACGCAGCGAAAUGCGAUAAGUAGUGUGAAUUGCAGAAUUCAGUGAAUCAUCGAAUCUUUGAACGCACAUUGCGCCCCUUGGUAUUCCAUGGGGCAUGCCUGUUCGAGCGUCAUUUGUACCUUCAAGCUCUGCUUGGUGUUGGGUGUUUGUCUCGCCUCUGCGUGUAGACUCGCCUCAAAACAAUUGGCAGCCGGCGUAUUGAUUUCGGAGCGCAGUACAUCUCGCGCUUUGCACUCAUAACGACGACGUCCAAAAGUACAUUUUUACACUCUUGACCUCGGAUCAGGUAGGGAUACCCGCUGAACUUAAGCAUA